rnacentral:misc_RNA from 1 species
GAUGAAGAACGCAGCGAAAUGCGAUAAGUAAUGAGAAUUGCAGAAUUCAGUGAAUCGUCGAAUCUUUGAACGCACAUUGCGCCCGCCAGCAUUCUGGCGGGCAUGCCUGUUCGAGCGUCAUUUCAACCCUCGAGCCCCCCCGGGGGCCUCGGUGUUGGGGGACGGCACACCAGCCGCCCCCGAAAUGCAGUGGCGACCCCGCCGCAGCCUCCCCUGCGUAGUAGCACACACCUCGCACCGGAGCGCGGAGGCGGUCACGCCGUAAAACGCCCAACUUUCUUAGAGUUGACCUCGGAUCAGGUAGGAAUACCCGCUGAACUUAAGCAUAUCAAUAAGCGGAGGA